UUGACCCGGUUGUCCUUCCAUUGUAUCAAAGAUUAGGGCAUGCAAGUGUAAGUAUAAAUAUUGCCAGACGAAGAAAGGACCGGCUCAGUUAAUCAGUGAUAAUACAUCCGAUAGUCCGGUAUUGGUAAGAUACGCGCAGGAAUCCUUGAGUUAAUGCAGGCAUCAUUUCUCGGGCUUUCUCUGAAGGGUAUAUCCUUAAGAUAGAAGCCAACCCAAAGCCAGGUAGGCCAAGAUUCUCACAUACAAAGCGAAUAGCGCGGCAAUGUGAAGGAGACGUAUCAGUCACAAGUCCAUGCGAUUAGCAAGGGAUGGUAGAGUCACCAAAGACCCAGGGAAGUGGGGGUAACGGAUAAUAAUAAAUAGAUUCCGGAGAGGAACGGGAGAGUAUUGAUGCACAUCCAAGGAAGGCAGCAGGCGGGUAAUUCAAGUAAUAAGGAUACAGGGAGGUAAGACAAUAAAUAACAAGACCGGGCCGCAGUUUCAAUGGCAAAGGAAUGAGAACAACAUGCUCCCUUAAUGAGGAUCAAGAGGAGGGCAAUUCUGGCAC
rnacentral:rRNA from 1 species